CGGCGGUUUCGGGUACUCUUGACUUGACAUGUAAUAUCGCCAUUCGCCAUCCCUAAACUAAACUCUCAAGUCUCAGUCAGCUCAGAGGCGUGCAGUGCAGUGUUAAGUGUGGGGUUUGAAUAUUGCUGACUAUUAGCUUCAACGUGUAUAAAAGAGGUAAUAAAUAAAUUAUUGUAUUGGUACUUAUAUGCUUACUUAGUAGUAAUUUUUAAAGCUAUUUAUAUGAAAGGGAAAAGCUAUUAUGUAAUUUUAGGUUUUAUGGACAGACAUCACACUUUUUACAGUUGAUUUUUGG
rnacentral:lncRNA from 1 species